UUUGACUUUUACACCCAGUGUGAUCUGUUUUUGCAGGUAAAGAAGACUGGACAUUAUGGUUAUAUCUGAAGACGACUCAACAUCUGCGUUAGCUGACCUUUCUAUUUCCAACAACGCCUGAAUAGAUAGAGAGGCGCCCUCUACACGUAAACACCCUCUUGCGUGGGAUCCCUGCCAACCACCUUACUAUCAAAGAGGCAACAACAAGACCCAAAAUAAAACAAGCAGAAAACUUUGGUAAUACUAUCAUCUGGAUGGUUUUCAGGCGUGGGAGCCGUGACAGUUUAUACUUGUCAGAGGGGACAUGUUCCAUUUUUGUGGUGGCUGAGUGGGUUGGAUUGCUGACUUUGUGUGCUGGUGCUUGGGUGACUGACUCUUCGAGGGUGGAUUACAGUCUUGGAUGGGACUCAACCCAACAAAAGUACAGUGUACUAGAAUCUGUACUUUACUAAGA